rnacentral:rRNA from 1 species
GACGAACGCUGGCGGCGUGCUUAACACAUGCAAGUCGAACGAAGUGGCGGACGGGUGAGUAACGCGUAAUCAACCUGCCCUUCAGAGGGGGACAACAGUUGGAAACGACUGCUAAUACCGCAUACUGAAGGAGGGGAUUGCGUCUGAUUAGCUAGUUGGAGGGGUAACGGCCCACCAAGGCGAAGAUCAGUAGCCGGUCUGGGAGGAUGAACGACCAAAAUGGGGCUGAGGACAGGCCCAGACUCCUACGGGAAGCAGCAGGUGGGAAUCUUCCGAAAUGGUGGGAAGUCUGACGGAGCAACGCCGCGUGAGUGAUGACGGCCUUCGGGUUGUAAAGCUCUGUUAAUCGGGACGCGGUACCGGAAGAGAAAGCCACGGCUAACUACGUGCCAGCAGCCGCGGUAAUAC